rnacentral:misc_RNA from 1 species
UUGAGCCCUGCCCUCACGGGUAGACCUCCAACCCUGUGUAUUUAUACCUUUGUUGCUUCGGCAGGCCGUCUAGGUUUCGGCCUGGCUAUGGGCUUCGGCUGGUAAGCGCCUGCCAGAGGACCCUAAACUCAGAAUGUUAGUGUUGUCCGAGUACUAUACAAUAGUUA